GCAUGGACGAAUUCUGUAUUACUUGUUCAAUGGUAUUUACAGUCAGACACCAUGCAAAAUUAAUUUUUCACUUCUUUAAAAAAAUAUUGCAGGUAAGCUUGCAUGCUUCUUGCUUGGUAAAAGUGAAAACAAGA
rnacentral:snoRNA from 1 species